CUGUGUGUCUUGACCUCUUCUUGACCUUUAUGUUUUCAUGCUGUUGAAAGGAAACCCUCAUACCAUGACUGUUGGGACCUAUAUAUGUAUACAGUCAGAAGAAUUUGUCCCAUUAGCAGGCCUUUUUUAUUCAGUGCCUCAUCUUUCAUGAAGGAACUCAUUAACUUUCAAAAAAGAAUAGGAAAACAAACUGGCUUCUCCAGAGAAGUAAACAAUACGAUUACAAGAACUCUAUUUCAAGCUAGACAUAAAAAGCAGUCACCUAGAACAAUAAAAGUCAUACUCAGAAGACAGGAAACAAUAGCUUCAAUAUUCAAUAGAGUUCCGGACAUGAAGCUGAAAUCUAAUAUGAAGGUUGUCAUACUUGAUUUCAAGCUUUGCUCUGCACAUCAGUGGUGAUGGCCUGACACUCCCUGCAGAGCCUGGGAGUGAAUGGUCCAUCAUCUUCCGCCAAAAAUUCUGCUGCGUACACAAGUAGAUCCUUUGCUGCCAGUGAGGUCAAAUGGGAGAGCAGCAGUCCUGAUCUCAGCACACGUACAGCUGGUUUAGACAGCUUCCUACUCAGCAUCUGAUCAGUUAUGAGUUAUACAGAUAAGUAUAACUGCACCCAUUCUUGUCUACAGUAUCCUAAGAACAGCUAUAAAAGGGCAAUCAAAUAAUACAACCAUUGCAGGAUCAAAAUUCAGCAGUGACUAUUAGCAGAUACCUAGAGAACAAGAAUAUAAUAUAGUAACAGGUACCUUAUUU
rnacentral:lncRNA from 1 species